UACGGGGGGGGCAAGCGUUGUUCGGAAUUACUGGGCGUAAAGGGCUCGUAGGCUGCCAACUAAGUCAGACGUGAAAUCCCUCGGCUUAACCGGGGAACUGCGUCUGAUACUGGAUGGCUUGAGAUCGGGAGAGGGAUGCGGAAUUCCAGGUGUAGCGGUGAAAUGCGUAGAUAUCUGGAGGAACACCGGUGGCGAAGGCGGCAUCCUGGACCGACACUGACGCUGAGGCGCGAAAGCUAGGGGAGCAAACGGG
rnacentral:rRNA from 1 species